GACUUCUAGCCAUGAUGAAGUCGUAGCAUACGGCUCAGCAACACGUGGCUAACCUACCCUUGAGACGGAGACAACCCCGGGAAACUGGGGCUAGUCCCAGAUAGAUGAGAACUCCUGGAACGGGUUCUCGUCCAAAAGGCGUCUAGCCAUGCUUCUAAUGUUGCUCAAGGAUGGGGCCGCGGCCGAUCAGGCUGUUGGUGAGGCAACGGCUCACCAAACCUUUAACCGGUACGGGCCGUGGGAGCGGGAGCCCGGAGAUGGGAACUGAGACAAGGUCCCAGCCCUACGGGGCGCAGCCGUUGCGAAAACUUGUCAAUGCACGAAAGUGUGAACGGGCUACCCCGAGUGCUGUCCGCUGAGGAUGGCUUUUCUCUGCUGUUAGAAGGCGGGGGAAUAAGGAGAGGGCAAGUCUGGUGUCAGCCGCCGCGGUAAUACCAGCUCUCCGAGUGGUGGGGAUGUUUAUUGGGCUUAAAGCGUCCGUACCUGCCCUUCAGUCUCUCGUUAAUCCGGCGAUUCAAUCGUUGGACUGCCGGGAGAUACUGUUAGGCUAGAGGCGGGAGAAGCCGACGGUAUUUCCGGGGUAGGGUAAAAUCCUAUAAUCCCGGGAGGACCACCAGUGGCGUAGCGGUCGGCUAGCACGCGCUCGACGGUGAGGGACGAAAAGCUGGGGGAGCAAACCGGAUUAGAUACCCCGGAUAGUCCCAGCUGUAAACGAUGCGGGCUAGUGUUGGGGUGGCCACGAGCCACUUCAGUGCCGCAGGGAAGCCAUUAAGCCCGCCGCCUGGGGAGUACGGCCGCAAGGCUGAAACUUAAAGGAAUUGGCGGGGGAGCACCACAAGGGGUGAAGCUUGCGGUUCAAUUGGAGUCAACGCCGGGAACCUUACCGGGGGACGACAGCAGGUUGAAAGCCAGAUUGGACGAUCUUGCUGGACGAGCUGAGAGGAGGUGCAUGGCCGUCGCCAGUUCGUGCCGUGAGGUGUCCUGUCAAGUCAGGCAACGAUCGAGACCCACGCUCCCUGUUGCUACCGAGGAGUUUUCCAAGGGGCACUCUGGGGGGACUGCCGUCGAUAAGACNGGAGGAAGGGGUGGGCUACGGCAGGUCAGUAUGCCCCGAAUCCUCCGGGCCACACGCGAGCUGCAAUGGUUGGGACAGUGGGCUCCGACCUCGAAAGGGGGAGGCAAUCCCGAAACCCAGCCUCAGUUUGGAU
rnacentral:rRNA from 1 species